UAACAUGAAAGACUGAAACUGUGUUCGAAUACUCAUACUAACCGUACUAUUUGACGUGAAUUUAGUAUAUAGUGUGCUUAUUGGUCAUAGUAUGGAUAUAGUUUGUAUGCCAAAAGUUCCCGGAUAUCGUACAAAAUACGCCAAAAUAUGAAGUAUACACGCAGAGGACACUAUUUCCGUAAGGCAAUAACAUGUACCUACAGUGAAUGGCCAGCCACACAGGAGGGUGAUUUUCAUGAAGGAAAGGGAGGCCUUUCUGACCGAGAUGCAAGCUGGCCAUUUCGGAGUGAAACGCAUGUUUGCCAAAAUCAACCUAUGCUUCUGCCAAUGAUGUGGACAUCUGGGCAAAUCCGUCUAGCCUGCCAGAAGUUUGAGGGUGGCUGUGGCGCCGGAGUUGAAAUGUAUGAAAGUUGUUUCACAAUGGCUCAUGAUCGGUGAUGAUGGCCAUCAUCAUCCUCCAGGUUUGGAUGAACGAACCAACCAGACCCACAAGACCGCCAUGGGAAGAGGUCAAUAAAGAUUCAAGGACCAUUGACUGUCCGAGCCACCCAGGAGGUAUUCCAUCCACCAGAACCAGCGGGUUCGGGUCAGUCUGAUUCUCUGUGCUCUGAGUCAGAGGGGGACCAGCUUCAGGGGUUCUGCCUAACACCCAAUUGUGGAUCCACCCGAGUUCAUCCAUUACCAACCACCCUCCAAAUUUUCAUUACAUCAUCUACCGCUACUGUUAUUGUCUUGUUGUUAUUAUCUGCUAAUAAAGUUAUUGCUUUAUCAUACUGGGCACAUAAUGUGAGAUACACAGAAGAAUUAAAACACUAGCACUGCAAACACUCAGAACAAAGCGGGCAGCAGUGCCUAGACUUUGCAGUAUCUCUCUUCAAGUCCCCCUUCUGAGACUGACUGCCUGUUGAGAACAAGUGACAGUCAGAACCUCCCAUCCACACAGCACCCACCUCCUCUCUAUUCAACUCACCAGAAUUCAGUAUAUGUUUGCCAUGUGAGUGUACCACAACAAAAAAUCUGUGAAAAUAAAUGAAUGACA